rnacentral:rRNA from 1 species
CCUACGGGCGGCAGCAGUAGGGAAUAUUGCUCAAUGGGGGAAACCCUGAAGCAGCAACGCCGCGUGGAGGAUGAAGGCUUUAGGAUUGUAAACUCCUUUUGUUAGAGAAGAUAAUGACGGUAUCCAACGAAUAAGCACCGGCUAACUCCGUGCCAGCAGCCGCGGUAAUACGGAGGGUGCAAGCGUUACUCGGAAUCACUGGGCGUAAAGAGUGCGUAGGCGGGGUAGUAAGUCAGAUGUUAAAUCCUGAAGCUGAACUUGAGAACUGCAUUUGAUACUGGUACUCUGGAGUGUGGGAGAGGUAGAUGGAAUUCUUGGUGUAGGGGUGAAAUCCGUAGAGAUCAAGAGGAAUACUCAUUGCGAAAGCGACCUACUGGAACGUUACUGACGCUGAUGCACGAAAGCGAGGGUAGCAAACGGGAUUAGAUACCCUUGUAGUC